rnacentral:rRNA from 1 species
GAUGAACGCUGGCGGCGUGCCUAAUACAUGCAAGUCGAGCGAAUGGAUUAAGAGCUUGCUCUUAUGAAGUUAGCGGCGGACGGGUGAGUAACACGUGGGUAACCUGCCCAUAAGACUGGGAUAACUCCGGGAAACCGGGGCUAAUACCGGAUAACAUUUUGAACCGCAUGGUUCGAAAUUGAAAGGCGGCUUCGGCUGUCACUUAUGGAUGGACCCGCGUCGCGAUUAGCUAGUUGGUGAGGUAACGGCUCACCAAGGCAACGAUGCGUAGCCGACCUGCGAGGGUGAUCGGCAACACUGGGACUGAGAAACGGCACAGACGCCUACGGUGGGAAGCAGUAGGGAAUCUUCCGCAAUGGCCGAAAGUCUGACGGAGCAACGACGCGUGAGUGAUGAAGGCUUUCGGGUCGUAAAACUCUGUUGUUAGGGAAGAACAAGUGCUAGUUGAAUAAGCUGGCACCUUGACGGUACCUAACCAGAAAGCCACGGCUAACUACGUGCCAGCCGCCGCGGUAA